GCCAGGCAUGGUGGCACAGACUGUAAUCCCAGCAGUUUAGGAGGCUGAGGCAGGAGGAUCACAAGUUCAAAGGCAGCCUCAGCAAAAGGGAGGCAUUAAGCAACUCAGUGAGACACUGUCUCUAAAUGGGGCUGGGGAUGUGGCCCAGUAGUCAAGUGCCCUUGAGUUCAAUCCCCGGUACUACAAAAAGAAAAAGAAUAUAGAAAGGGUUAUAGGAAAGUAGCUCUCUACUUUAGAGUCUGAGUCUCUAAAAAUCUGAUCAGUCUCCACUGUGCAGAUGGUUGCAGGGCCCCUUCCCUUCAACUUAACCAGGUAUGGAUAAAAUCUUUAUAUUAUGAAUCUUUAAGGCAUAUUGGAAUGUUUAGAAUAUAAGAAACACAAAUGUGCCUACCACCUGGCUUUGUCUUCUUUCCUUCAGAUUGGAUUCCGGAUUUUUUUGUUGUUGUUGUUGGGGGGUACUGGAGAUUGAUCCCAGGGGUGCUUAUCCUGAUUUUGGAAUGGAAACAUCACAGGUCCACCCCAAAUAUCUUGAAUUCCCUCUCCUUUAUCUUCCUCCUUGCCCUGGACAUGACUGGCCUCCUGAGCCUAAAGAUCAGUCCUAACAGUCACACUGCUCUUGGAUAUGUCUGUGAACAGAGCUUGGUGUAGGAACAAAGCAUGGUUUUUCAUCAUGGUAAAAUGCACAUUACAUAAAAUUUACCAUUCUAAUGACUUUUUUUUUUAAUACCAAGGAUUGAACCCAGUGGUACUUAAUAACUGAGCCAUAUCCCCAGC
rnacentral:lncRNA from 1 species